UCUUCCUAUUCCUCUCCCAGGAAAGGUAUGUCACCUAGAGAGCUAAGGAUGUGGACGGUAUUAUAUUUUCUAAAUUUCUAAAUUUUGAACAGUGUUCAAUUUUCUUUGGAAAUACACAGUAAAAGGUACCACUGCCAUUACCAUAUACAGAGUUGCUAGUGAAGAUAGUAUGAAGGGUUCUUGAGGCCACCUCUUCCCCACCCGUUUUGCAUAUUCAGCUCAUCAUCAGGUCAGCUUUCUUCAUUUCGACCCCGCCACCACUCCUCUGCAGCAGUACUGAACAAAUGCUUAAUGAAGAAGUGAGGAAUGAUUUUACACAGAAAAAAGGCUCCAAUUUCAAGAAUGCAAAUUGCAGUUUAAAACUGUUCAGCUGCUCGUGAAUAGACACUUGACUGCACACUAAUGAAGUUUUGAACUCUUAUACGAACCAGCUUUGCAGAGAGAGAAAGAGAGAAAAAAGACUAUUCAUUUGGCCAACAUUCAUUGGGUGGCUCUUCUGUGCUUUUUAGGCCAGGCUGCCUGGCUGGGGUGGCAUAUUAGGCAUUUCCUUAAAAGAAUAAUAUUUCAACUGAUGUAGGUAGGCAUGGAGGGUGUACGGCAUAUUUUGUUUUUUAACAAAUAAGUGUCAAAAAUUCCCAACUCUGUAUCUUUUCCUCAUCAUCAAAAAGCUGUCUGUGUUCCAGUUGGUUGUCUGACCCAUGCCCACUUCCACAUUUGCUGCUUUUCUGUCCUGUAUCUUUCUCCAGACCAUGAGCUGCAGACUUGCAGGAACUGAUUUUUUUGAACUUCUUUGCCCCCUGCUUCUUGCAUGCAUUAGUAAGUAAUGAAUAAAUAUUUGCUGACUGAUUAGAUGUUGUCUGGUGGAGUGUGGGUUUGUGUUGCAUGGGCCCCUUUUCAAGAAUUAUGUAGGUUAUUUAAAAAAACAACAACUUAGUAGCAAUUAUUGGUCAUUAUAAUGACAUUGAAUGGUAUUCGGAAAAAGAAUCUUUGUCUUUAUAUUUCCUUUAAAAAGAUGGCUUGAAGAAAUGGCUUUUGAGUUUUCUUUGAAGUUAAUUCUUUGCUUAUUUACAAAUUAAUUGCUUUCUGCAGCGUUUCCCUUUAGUGCUAGUAAUGAAAAGUAUUUAAAAAUAAUUAGUAACCACAUCUAGUCCUGAUUUUCUAAGUCUAUUCAAUGAAUAAAUUUGAAUAGUGUGGUUAUUUUGUCUUUAUUGUUUUUGAACUAGUUUUCUUAGCUGUUUUUUUGUUUGUUUUGUUUUGUUUUUUAAGGUUCAGAGCAUAGCUCUUGAUUCAUAGACUUAAAAUAAUCUUCAUUUAGGUUUAGCGGGUAUAUAACUAGGGGUAGCUUUUUUAAUAGUAUACUAUAAUUGAAAGAGAAUGUGACAUGUAGACAUAAUGAAUUAGUAAUUAUAUCUGUUUAUGAAUAUAUGUUCAUUUCCCCCAUAAUUUAAUUUUUAUAUAAGAAAGAAAUAAGUUAAUCUAUAUUCUUUUUGGCCACAUUAAGUAUUUUGAAAAUCAACAAACUAAACAUAUUUUGGGAUAUUUUAAACAAACAUUUUACAAAGUCAAAACAGACAGCAAUGGCCUGGAAUUUCAUGUCUGAUGUACAAUAUUACCCUUAGGGGCUUUUGUAUGUAAAAAGCUAGAAAAUUCAAAUCUUUAUUAAUGAUAAAAUGUCAAAGUUUUGACAUUUUAUCAUUAGAAAAGUCAAUCUUCUAGACUAUGUUAACUGAAGUCAUUAUUAAGAAAAGUAAAAUAGUAGUCCUUGCAAUGAGAGACAUACCAAUUACCCUUUUAUACAUUUAUUGUGUACAUUAGUUGUUACUUUUCUGGACAUUAUUUCCAUGGGUUAAAAAGGUAUUUCUGUACUUUUUUAUUAUAAGAGAACCAUCUUACAAAGUUAAUGGAAAUAAAAUUAAUUGAUGGCAUGGUGAUAAUUUGUUAUGCCUCUAUUGAAUAUUUUUAGGCCCUUGAUUCUAAGAUGCACAUUUUUUUUACACUUCCUUAUUGCCAAGCUUGUAUUAUACCUUAAAGUUGGAAUACUGUCUUCUUUCUUUUUCCUUCAAGGCUGUUAUUAAGUCUAUGAUGUAUCUUAAAGUCAAGGAUAUCUUGGGCAUAUUAAUUAUAUAUAAAGUAUAAUUCUUUUUAAGUGUGUAGUAUAAUGAUUUAAAUGAUAUAUAUUUGAAAUAGAAAAGGCCUUACAGUAUCAAAUGACUAACUAGUGCACAAUUAUUUAUUUUACUGACAAGACAGCUGAGGUCCAGAGAAAUUAAAAGAAUUAUUGAAACAAUAAAUACAUUUAUGAAUAGAAUAAGGGGGUAUUAGUAAUAACGUUGAUUAUCUAACCCUUUCCUCUUUAUCUUCUUCUUUGAAUGUUCCCUCUACCUUCUUGCAUUCCCACCUUACUGCAGCUCAUUCUCCCACAUGGCUGCAUGUAACCAUAGUCUCGGUGCCCAAGGACACUUCCUACCUUAUUGAAAACCACUAGUCCUUUGAGGUUCAUACUAUUUUAUCAUACUAGCCACUGCCCUACUUCUUGCCAUCAUAGUAACACAUCAUAUCAUGUGAUAUUUAUACACUUUUUAAUAUUUCAAGUAUAUGGACCUGGGUCCAUAUUGUUCAAUGUUGUAUUCUCAAUGUCUGUUAUACUAUUUGGAUAUGUGAGGCACUGAAUUAAUAAAUGAAUGAAUUAUCCAGAACAGAGGUGGGGGAACAAAGGCUUCUGUUCUUCAAAAUUCAGUGCCUGUGAACAAUAUUUAACUGAAAAUAUACUUUGCAUAGGAACUGAACUAGGAACCAGAAACAUAGACAUGCACAAAACACACACUACCUUACCCCUCCGAAGGAUGAAUCCUUGUGAAAUCCUAUGGGUUUCUCUUCUUGGGGCCCCUUACACAGCCAAUGAUCUUUAAUAUUUUACGUUUAAAAAUAUAUUUUUAUUGAUUUCAGAGAGGAAGGGAGGGGGAGAGAGAGAGACUUCAAUGAUGAGAGAGAAUCAUUGAUAGGCUGCCUCCUGCACGCCCCCCACUGGAAAUCAAGCCUGCAACCUGGGCAUGUGCCCUGACGGGGAAUCAAACCUUGACCUCCCGGUUCAUAGGCCAGUGCUCAACCAUUGAGCCUGGCUGGCUAUUGGAUUCUUGAUCACCACUCCUCUCCUUGCCUUCCUGCAUUCUGUAAUUUUGUGCCACAUAUGGGGCAAUUCCUUUCUUCUCUACUGGCACAAUGUUGUUAUAUAUUUACAGUCUUGAGCAUAAAUAAGGGAGGUGGACUCACAUGGCAUGGAAAGAAAACAACUUAAAAUUUCUUAGGAAUCUAGAAUUUCAUGAUUGCUUGUCUCAUGGGGACUGCCAUUGGUUGUCUUGUUCCUUAGGCCCAGCUUCCGGUCGUGUUCUUACUGUUUCAGGGAUCCUUUCUCUAUUGCAGUCGGUCUUCCAUCUCAACUUCUGUCUCCUGACAGUUAGACAUUUUUGUUACUUUGUUACGCAGAGAAAUUUAACUUGCAGUCUCCAACCACUAAACUCCAACAUACCUUGGCAUAUACAACAGGGUUCAUUAUAUUCCCCAAACAAAAGAUGCACUUAAGCAGCUACCAGACCAUACACUUUUAGAAAUGGAAAAAAAUGAAAAGGUUUACAAUUACAGUUUUCAUUUAAGUUGGGCCAGACAAAUUCAUAGGCAGAACUGUUCCCCACCCAUGGGACAAACGGCAGGGGUGUGUGUGUGUGUGUGUGUGUGUGUGUGUGUGUGUGUGUGUGUGUGUGUUCCCUUCCUAGUAAGCUUUUUUAAAGCAAAGUUUAUGUACUCUCAAAGUACAAAAACUUUCUAAAAUCAUUUGAUUUUUUCUUUUAACUGGGGAAGUCUGCUGAUUUAGCUAAUUUUAAAGUCAUCUUGACACCGAAGACAUUUUUCUUGAGGUAGUGCAGAGAUUUGGAGAAACUAUAGCAUUUGGAGACAGACUCUUCUGUAUUCAAACCCCUGCCUACUAUUUUUAGUUACUUGACCUAUAGCCACAUGAAUGUCCAUGUUCAGAAGUGGUAUAAUAUCCACCUCAAGGAAUUGUUAAAGGGAAUAAAUGAGACAGUGUUUAGGCAGUGGCCUACUUGCCUAUGUAAUGCAUGGCUUACAUGGAUUAAACAUUCAAAACAGGGAAGCUGACCAUAGGCUUGUUUGUUAACAAGAACGGUUGUUCUAAGAGCUAAAAUAUUUUGAAAUUCAAAUUGGGCUUUGCUCAAGUAACUCUGUCCAGAUUAGUCCUAUGUGGUCACUGUUUAAAUGACUGGAGGAAAUCACAGUUGUCACUACCCACAGAGGGGCUAAGGACACGUUCUGGGCACCAACACAGAUGUAGCCUGACAUCACAGUACUACUAACAUUUGUUAUAUUGUUUAGUGUUCUUCAGAUCACAGUUUCCCAUGCCAAUCAAUUUUUGUUCUUCCUAUUACUGAAAAUAAGAAAUACAUCAUACCUUUUGUGCUUCCAAUUAAAAGUUUUUCUGUUGUGCUGUUUAGCAGCUGGCAUCUUUAUAUUUUUAUAAUUUAUAUACUUUUUAUAUAAUUAUACAUAUAUCUUAACUCUAAAUUGGCAUGUCUAGACUUGAAUAAAGAAUAAUGUUUAUAUGAAGAAAACUGAUAGUUAAAAUCUUUAGUAAGUUGCCUUUAAUGAAAUAAUAUAUAUUUCACCAACUAUUCUAGAAAUUAAAAUGUUGUGAUGACAGUGCACUAUAAAUCUCUUAAUAUUUUAUUAUUUCUAUUGAUAUUUUAUUAUUGCCUUAAAGCUAAGCUUUAUUUUGUGAAAUGAGACAUAAGGGAAUGAAGUCCUCAGACACUGAGGUUAAAAGAUGCAAAAUAAGAAGAAAAACACUCCUCUAUUUAAUCCAUUUUAGGGUACAAGAACCCUAAAACUUUAUGUUUCUUUUCUCUGGGUACAGAUUCCUAAAGUUUUAGACAUACUUGGACUUUCUUUGGCUUGUAGUUUUGGGUUGCAUAAUGUAUUAUAUAAUUGUACCAUAUACAAGCAAAUGUGUAGCUUAUGAAUUUGGGGAUAUACUACCACUCUGUUUCCAAUAAAGAGAACAAAUACAUACAAUCAAGUGUUAACAUGUAUCUGAUGUCUACAGUUUGGUGAUUUUUACACACCCAGUCAGUCGAUACUAACUGCUAUUGUAACCAUCAUUUUGACCCUUGCCACUAUUGAUUAUUUUUGCUUUUUCUUGAACUUCAUACAAAUAGAAACACGAUAUUAAAUGUCAGUAAAGUACCUUUUAAUACAUCAACUUUGAGAUUAUUGAAUUAGACUAAAUCACUAAUACAUAUCUUCAAAAAGGUACCUUAAGUAAUGUAGACAUAUUACAUGUACAGGCAGAUGUAAUCAUCGAAAAGCUAUAUAAUUAUGAAUGCUAAUAAAUUUUACUUUUAUGUCAUUCAUUUUAGGGAGUUGGGAAGGCUUUUAUCCCUCUAAUUAUUAGCAUAUAAAAUAUUAUUUUUCAGUUUUUUUCUUUUCUGAGGACUACAUUUGAUGCAAACUUUAAA